UAGGAUUUGAGGGACCCAAGGAACUGGAGAUACACAAGCAUUUUCCUCUGCUACAGUCUCUUCAGGAAGUCUGGAAGGGCCAACGUUUCUUGAUAAGAUUUCCACAGAGACGCCAGCUUGAUAGAUGCCAAAGGUUUGCCCUGUGUUGGAUUUCACUUAUGUCACGGAGCCAAGGCAAAGAACUGGGGCUAGGCCUCCAAGGGCGGGUUCUGCUCUCUGGCUCCCUCUGCUGUGGCCGAGCAGAUCAGAUACCACGGUGGGUUGGGGCAAGAGUAGAAACCCCAGCAUCUCCACCCUGAGCUGAACUGGGUGACGGUAUCGGAGACACAGAAGGCCAG
rnacentral:lncRNA from 1 species